rnacentral:rRNA from 1 species
UACGUAGGCAGCAAGCGUUGUUCGGAAUUACUGGGCGUAAAGAGUGUGUAGGCGGUGCUCUAAGUUCGUUGUGAAAUCUCCCGGCUUAACUGGGAGGGUGCGGCGGAAACUGGAGUGCUUGAGCGCGGGAGAGGAAAGCGGAAUUCCUGGUGUAGCGGUGAAAUGCGUAGAUAUCAGGAGGAACACCUGUGGUGUAGACGGCUUUCUGGACCGUAGCUGACGCUGAGACGCGAAAGCGUGGGGAGCGAACAGG